rnacentral:rRNA from 1 species
UACGUAGGGGGGCUAGCGUUGUCCGGAAUCAUUGGGCGUAAAGCGCGCGUAGGCGGCCCGGUAAGUCCGCUGUGAAAGUCAAAGGCUCAACCUUUGAAUGUCAGCGGAUACUGCCAGGCUAGAGUCCGGAAGAGGCGAGUGGAACUCCUGGUGUAGCGGUGGAAUGCGCAGAUAUCAGGAAGAACACCAACGGCGAAGGCAGCUCGCUGGGACGGAACUGACGCUGGAGGCGCGAAAGCGUGGGGAGCGAACAGG